rnacentral:rRNA from 1 species
UACGUAGGGGGCAAGCGUUAUCCGGAUUUACUGGGUGUAAAGGGAGCGUAGACGGUUAGAUAAGUCUGAUGUGAAAGCCCGGGGCUCAACCCCGGGACUGCAUUGGAAACUAUUUGACUAGAGUGCAGGAGAGGUAAGUGGAAUUCCUAGUGUAGCGGUGAAAUGCGUAGAUAUUAGGAGGAACACCAGUGGCGAAGGCGGCUUACUGGACUGUAACUGACGUUGAGGCUCGAAAGCGUGGGGAGCAAACAGG